GGAGAGGUGCUGGAGUGGCCGAACAGGGCUGCCUGCUAAGCAGUUACACGGGCUAAAACUCGUGUCGAGGGUUCGAAUCCCUCCCUCUCCGCCA
rnacentral:tRNA from 1 species